CUUCACAGCAACCCUACGAAGCAAGUACUGCGAUCAUCGCUAGUUUGCAGUAGAGAAUGCUGACAUCCCAGAAAACUAAGUGACCUGCCUAGGGUCCC
rnacentral:miRNA from 1 species